GACGAACGCUGGCGGCGUGCUUAACACAUGCAAGUCGAACGGAAAGGCCCUGCUUUUGUGGGGUGCUCGAGUGGCGAACGGGUGAGUAACACGUGAGUAACCUGCCCUUGACUUUGGGAUAACUUCAGGAAACUGGGGCUAAUACCGGAUAGGAGCUCCUGCUGCAUGGUGGGGGUUGGAAAGUUUCGGCGGUUGGGGAUGGACUCGCGGCUUAUCAGCUUGUUGGUGGGGGAGUGGCUUACCAAGGCUUUGACGGGUAGCCGGCCUGAGAGGGUGACCGGCCACAUUGGUACUGAGAUACGGCCCAGACUCCUACGGGAGGCAGCGGUGGGGAAUAUUGCACAGUGGGCGGGAGCCUGAUGCAGCAACGCCGCGUGCGGGAUGACGGCCUUCGGGUUGUAAACCGCUUUCGCCUGUGACGAAGCGUGAGUGACGGUAAUGGGUAAAGAAGCACCGGCUAACUACGUG
rnacentral:rRNA from 1 species